rnacentral:rRNA from 1 species
GAUGAACGCUGGCGGCGUGCCUAAUACAUGCAAGUCGAGCGAACGGACGAGAAGCUUGCUUCUCUGAUGUUAGCGGCGGACGGGUGAGUAACACGUGGAUAACCUACCUAUAAGACUGGGAUAACUUCGGGAAACCGUAGCUAAUACCGGAUAAUAUUUUGAACCGCAAGGUUCAAAAGUGAAAGACGGUCUUGCUGUCACUUAUAGAUGGAUCCGCGCUGCAUUAGCUAGUUGGUAAGGUAACGGCUUACCAAGGCAACGAUGCAUAGCCGACCUGAGAGGGUGAUCGGCCACACUGGAACUGAGACACGGUCCAGACUCCUACGGGAGGCAGCAGUAGGGAAUCUUCCGCGAUGGGCGAAAGCCUGACGGAGCAACGCCGCGUGAGUGAUGAAGGUCUUCGGAUCGUAAAACUCUGUUAUUAGGGAAGAACAUAUGUGUAAGUAACUGUGCACAUCUUGACGGUACCUAAUCAGAAAGCCACGGCUAACUACGUG